CACGUAGGGGCCAAGCGUUGUCCGGAUUCAUUGGGCGUAAAGAGCUCGUAGGCGGUUCAGUUAGUCGGGUGUGAAAUCUCCGGGCUCAACCCGGAGGGGCCACCCGAUACUGCUGUGACUCGAGUCCGGUAGGGGAGUGGGGAAUUCCUGGUGUAGCGGUGAAAUGCGCAGAUAUCAGGAGGAACACCGGUGGCGAAGGCGCCACUCUGGGCCGGUACUGACGCUGAGGCGCGAAAGCGUGGGGAGCAAACAGG
rnacentral:rRNA from 1 species